rnacentral:rRNA from 1 species
AGUGAACGCUGGCGGCAGGCCUAACACAUGCAAGUCGAACGGCAGCACAGUAAGAGCUUGCUCUUACGGGUGUCGCGCGGCGGAAGCGUGAGGAAUACAUCGGAUUCCACUUCUACGUGGGUGAUAACGUAGGGAAACUUCUGCUAAUACCGCAUAUGACCUACGUGUGUAAGCAGGCGUUCUUUGAACUUUGUGCUAUUGUAUAAGCCGAUGUCGGAUUAGCUAGUUGGCGGGGUAAAGGCCCACCAAGGCGACGAUCCGUAGCAGGUCUGAGAGGAUGAACAGACACACGGGAACAGAGACACGGUCCAGACUCUGACGGGGGGCAGCAGUGGGGAAUAUUGCACAAUGGGCGAAAGCCGGAUCCAGCCAAACCGCGUGAGUGAUGAAGGACUUCGGGUUGGUAAGCCAUGUUGUUGGGAAAGAAGAGCAGCAGGUUUAUACGCGACUAUACUGACGGUACCCAAAGAAUAAGCACCGGCUAACUUCGUG